GGGGAUCCGAGGAAGCAAAAAUCAAGCAGCAGAAAAACAUAAAAAAUCCUUAGUCUAAGCAGCCACAACAUCCACAAAAAAAAUAAAAAAAGUACCAAACAAUACCCAAAAAUACCAAAAAAAAAAUGUGCGCAGUGAGAAUGGGGGGAACGAUUGGGUUUUCGAAGAAAGGGGGAAUUUUUGGUUGAUUUCUUUGGGGGGGGGGGGUUGUGGUGUCGCCAAUUGAAAAGGGAAGGAUUCGAGAGAGGAAGCUGUCGACUAGGGAGAGUGAAAGAGCUUCGGUGUGAGGGUGAGAGAGAAAGGUGAGAGGAGAGUCGGCCGACGGUUGGAAAGUAAAGAGGGAAGAGAAGUAGAGGCCGACGGCUUGAAAAAAGAGAGGAGAGAGGCUGGCCGGUGGCUUGGUAGAGGGAAGGGAGAGAGUUUAGGCUCUAGAGAGAG
rnacentral:lncRNA from 1 species